rnacentral:rRNA from 1 species
AUUGAACGCUGGCGGCAGGCCUAACACAUGCAAGUCGAACGAGUGGCAGACGGGUGAGUAAUGUCUGGGAAACUGCCUGAUGGAGGGGGAUAACUUCUGGAAACGGUAGAUAAUACCGCAUACCAUCAGAUGUGCCCAUAUGGGAUGAGCUAGUAGGUGGGGUAAAGUCUCACCGAGGCGACGAUCCCUAGCUGGUCUGAGAGGAGGACCAGCCACACUGGAACUGAGACACGGUCCAGACUCCUACGGGAGGCAGCAGUGGGGAAUAUUGCACAAUGGGCGCAAGCCUGAUGCAGCCAUGCCGCGUGUAUGAAGAAGGCCUUCGGGUUGUAAAGUACUUUCAGCGGGGAGGCGUUACCCGCAGAAGAAGCACCGGCUAACUCCGUGCCAGCCGCCGCGGUAAUUC